rnacentral:misc_RNA from 1 species
CAGCCGCGUAAUUCCAGCUCCAAUAGCGUAUAUUAAAGUUGUUGCAGUUAAAAAGCUCGUAGUUGAAUUUCGGGAUUGACACAUCGGUCGUGCCUUAAGGGGUAUGAACUGGUGUAGUCAAUUUCUCACCUUCUGGAGAACCGCAAUGCCCUUAAUUGGGUGUCGCGGGGAACCAGGACCUUUACUUUGAAAAAAUUAGAGUGUUUAAAGCAGGCAUUUUGCUUGACUACAUUAGCAUGGAAUAAUAAAAUAGGACGGAUGAUUCUAUUUUGUUGGUUUCUAGGACCACCGUAAUGAUUAAUAGGGAUAGUUGGGGGCAUUAGUAUUCAAUUGUCAGAGGUGAAAUUCUUGGAUUUAUUGAAGACUAACUACUGCGAAAGCAUUUGCCAAGGAUGUUUUCAUUAAUCAAGAACGAAAGUUAGGGGAUCGAAGACGAUCAGAUACCGUCGUAGUCUUAACCAUAAACUAUGCCGACUAGGAAUCAGACGAUGUUAAUUUUUUAAUGACUCGUUUGGCACCUUACG